UUAACUUUUUAAAUUUUCGAUUUGGGUUUUAGGGUUUUACCUCUUGAUGACAAAUAAUUCUUCCUCCAGCGCAAUUGCUUUUCACGAAUUCACCAAAUUAACGAACAAUCCUAGCUCGUCUUGAAAAUGGAGGUGUGAAUUUUUUGCCCAAAAUUCCCGAAAUCUGAAUUUCUUGCUCGUCUUCACUGCAGGAGGAGCACGAGGAAGAAGGACUGCUUUGAAGGAGGAGAGAGAAUAACAAGGAGGAGAGAGACAAUGUGAGUAUUAAAUACCUCAAAUUCAAAAAUUUUGAAAUCUGAAAUUUUUGCCAGCAAUGAAUAACGGAGUCCGUUAUUUCCAAGUGGGCCUCUCUCUUUUUACGGUGAAAAUACCAUAAUGCCCCCACUUGUGUCCAGAUUGGACACAAGCCAUUAUGGAGCAAGACUUCCUCCCUCCCCAACACCCAUUAAUGAUGCAUCUUUGGAAGUGAUAUAAAUAUAUACUCAUGUCAAAACAUACAAAAUUACCAGUUUUAUCUAAUACUUCCCCCGCAAAUAUUAGGAAUGCAACACUUUGUGCUAAUUCAACAUAAUUACUCGUAUUAAGCGCACAUUGGAUUAGGUAACACUGCUCACCACCCUCCCGAAUUCCAGCAAAAUGAUUUAAAGAAAAUAGCAGGUAGCCAACCAACCAUCAACCACUGCACCCAACUGAUAUACUAACAGACUGCAGUUUCUCUGCAACCACAACAGAAAACACAACCCAGAAGCCUACUGCAGUAGCAAAACUAUGGUGCUUCAGCUACAUCAUAUCCGUGAUCAGAUUUGCUACUGCAAACACCCAGCUGACUUAACAACACUUAUAACCCCAUUUUGCAACUGACAAAACCAUCUACAGUCAGCGUGUGUUUAUUUAUCAUUUUUCAAAGCCUGAAUUCUAUUAUACAUUUCAGAUUUGACUCGUUUCAUCAUGACAGAAGGCAAAUCAUAACAGAUUACCACAAAGAAGAUAAGUGAUGCAAUUUAAUAACAUUUCCUUCCUUCAUUUGACCUUGACAUAAAUUACAUACAGUAUUUCUUUCUUUAACCUUUCAAAAGUUGGAGUUCAUCUACUGUUCCUUAUGAACAGUAACUCCACACGUGCCAAUUCCCACGUAUCAAUCCCUAAUUUUUCCUCUCAAGUUUUUCCUCCCUUUCUCUCUCUUCCCCCAUCCUCUAUAUCCUGUAACUCUGUAAACUAGAACCCGUGAAAAUGGAGGUUUCUCCUUCAAGGUCAAGAAAUCUAAGGCUUUUCUCUGUUUGGAAAUCACGUGACUGCGAGAGGGGAAGCUUUGGUUCCUACUCGUAGUGUUGGUGUUCCUCGAUCAAUCAAGGAACCUACGCCGGAGUUGAAGUGGAUGCAUUGACCAGCUUUAAUUGAGUGAUUAUUAUGAAGGACCAACCUGCCGUCCAAGUAUUUCAACGGGGUCCAAUGCGAAUGAAAGUCUAGGGCAUCCUAUCAUUAGAAGUGAUUCUUUAGGCAGGGGUACAUUUGUACCCAAUGACAUUAAUAUUGGUGCCAAGACUCCCUUAUAGCACUUUACAAUCUCUCUAUAUUAAUCACCAGCAAACAUUGCCUUUGAUUGUAUCACCAGAUAUUGUAUUGUACUAAAGCUUUGUUUACCUAUUUUAUUUAUUAAAUUUCUCUUUACCUCGCCA